UACGGAGGGUGCGAGCGUUAUCCGGAUUCACUGGGUUUAAAGGGUGCGUAGGUGGGAAUGUAAGUCAGUGGUGAAAUCUCCGGGCUUAACCCGGAAACUGCCAUUGAUACUAUAUUUCUUGAAUUUUCUGGAGGUUAGCGGAAUAUGUCAUGUAGCGGUGAAAUGCUUAGAUAUGACAUAGAACACCAAUUGCGAAGGCAGCUAACUACAGGGAUAUUGACACUGAGGCACGAAAGCGUGGGGAUCAAACAGG
rnacentral:rRNA from 1 species